rnacentral:rRNA from 1 species
GAUGAACGCUGACAGAAUGCUUAACACAUGCAAGUCUACUUGAACUUCGGUUUGGGUGGCGGACGGGUGAGCAACGCGUAAAGAACUUGCCUCACAGAUAGGGACAACAUUUGGAAACGAAUGCUAAUACCUGAUAUUAUGAUUUUAGGGCAUCCUAGAAUUAUGAAAGCUAUAUGCACUGUGAGAGAGCUUUGCGUCCCAUUAGCUAGUUGGAGAGGUAACGGCUCACCAAGGCGAUGAUGGGUAGCCGGCCUGAGAGGGUGAUCGGCCACAAGGGGACUGAGACACGGCCCUUACUCCUACGGGAGGCAGCAGUGGGGAAUAUUGGACAAUGGACCAAGAGUCUGAUCCAGCAAUUCUGUGUGCACGAUGAAGUUUUUCGGAAUGUAAAGUGCUUUCAGUUGGGAAGAAAAAAAUGACGGUACCAACAGAAGAAGUGACGGCUAAAUACGUG